ensembl:lncRNA
UGCCCCCCUCUCUCCUUCUCUUCUUUACACCCCUUUCUUCCCUCCCUUUUUCCUUCCCACUUUUUCUUCCCUCUCUCCCUUUCUGACACCUCCCUUCCCCGCGUCUCUUUGCCCCCCUUUUCCACUCCCACCCAGCCUCCCACUCUGUCCCCACGCACUCCUCCUCCCGAAAGCGGGCAGAAAAAAGAGCAGCAAAGGAGCGGGAAGCCCCGGAUGGGGGAGGGGACUUUGGGAAUGGAUGGAGGGGCGGGGUGGGGGGGAGCAGCAGCGGCUCAGUAGCAGAUCCACAUCGCGCGCACGCGGGCGCGCGCGUACACACAAAAUACAUACAGAGAUCUAGGAAUGAUUUUUCUCUUCCAUUUGUGAAUCUCAUAGAAGGUGUUUAGAACAAUUAGCAGAGGAGAGGAGGAAACCACGUAUUCAGAAGGAUGAGAAUGGACUAAACCAGGGUUCGAAUCCUUUAUUAGGUAUAAUCAAAUUAACGUCGACCAAGUUGUCCCCUGAGGGUUAGGCUCUCCAUAUUAGUAUUACUACUCCUAAACCAUGCUCCUUCUAAAACAUUCUCUUAACGUCUGUUGGAGAAUCCAGAAACAAAAUUAGGAGCAGAAAAAUAUGUAGAUAGUUCUUUUGCUUCCCCGAGAAAGAUCCUGGAGAAUUCAGAGCAUUGAAGAGAUGACAGAGUUCAAACUGGAAGAAUCGCCAAGAAGACUUGAGAACGUAGUCGGAGGGAAGGGGAUGAGGAGGAGGAAACUUAGACGUAAAACACAGAAACAGACACACACCCCAAAUACGAAUCAACAGUUUCCUUCCCCCUGCCGCCCCCACGUCUCCCAUUCAGCCCGAGGAUCGCCUGAAUCCCUCCGAAAGUCUCUCUUCUUCUCACCCGCAUUCUGCCGCUUCCGCGCAAUCCCCCAUCACCCGAACCUCCCUGCUCCCCCCGACCCGCGUCCUGUCUGUCUUGUGGCUCUCUCCUUGGCGCUUUCUCAGUCCCGGGGGCACGGAAGCCUCAGGAGCAUCCGAAUGGGGCCCUCGGAAGGGGCCCCCUCAGGGCGAGCUAGGUUUUGAGUCGAGUUCAGGUUGAGAGGCCGCGGCGGCGGAGCCUCCCUGCACCUGCUAGAGUACGUGGCACGCCGAGGGCCCUCAGCCGGAUCAUCCCCGGGAAGUUCCGGGCGCGGAUCUCUCGGCGUUUUGGGCUGUAGCAGUUUAUUUUUUCCUGCAAGAAGGGUGAUCCUGGACUGAAUUAGCCUCACGCUGAUGCACUGACGAAAGCGAAUGUGUAUGCAUUAAAUAUAUUAGCGAAGAGGCAGGUUUUGUUUUUCGUUGCUUAGCACGUAGUAAUAAUCAGCAUUUAUUUUCCUCUGCCCCCAGACGACUCUAGGGAGGGAAGAAAAGGGGGACUCGGUGUGUCCAUGCGGGGCGGGGUGAAGGAGGGGGGACCGGAGACGGUCCGAUGUGCCCGCUUCUCAUUCCCCUGCCCUUCCAGCCGGCAGGUAAAAAUGCCAGCCCCUCCCUGACCGCCCCUCGCCCCCUACCCCCAUUUCCAAACGCCGGAGCAGCUCCUCGCCCCGGCAGGGUGCGGGAAAGCCCCGCGGGGGGCGCCGGAUGGGGGCUGCAGAGGAGGAGGGGAGGAGGAGGAGGGGGGAGUCUCGUCUCUUCCCCUACCGCAGCGUGGCGGCUGGCGCUGCUUUGGCAGCCAUUUUCUGCAGCUGCCUUAGCUGGGGCUCUGCGGAGCAAGGCGUAGGCUGCGGCGGCCGAGCUACCGGCCUGGGCCCGCGGGCGGCGUGGGGGGGUUGGACGAGGGGGGGCUGGUGGCGUAGUGGGGGAAGGGAAGCCGAGGUAAAGCUAGCAGCUCCAGGAGGGGGUAGUCCCGGGCCCCCGCCCCCCGGAAGAAGCUGGUGUCCGGCCCCCCGCCCGUUCCCCCCUCCCCACCCGAUGCUGCAUUGCAGGGGGAGCCGAGCUGCUGCUCCGCGUGGCUAGUGCCUGUGAUACCACCCUUUCCCCCGCCAUUUUGUACCGGGGCUGGUGCUUUCCCAAAGCCGAGAUGGAGCAGACAAAACCAGCCCCCUCUCGUCCUCCCAGGGACGAGAUCUCUCUUUUUCCAAUUCCGUAUCGGAGGGCGGUGCCCAGGGUUCAUCAAGCAGGGGCCCUAAAGCUCGGACCAGACCCAUCCCUACCUAGGUGGCCAGGGAAAGGCUAGGCACCCUCCUUUGCCCGGGGGUUCCUGGGGGGUGUCCUGUCUGGGCCCCCUCCCUAGCCCCGGCAAAUCCUGAGUGAACCAAGGGAGUCCCUUCCGACAAAAAGGAGAGGAGCAACAGGACGUUUGUUCCCCCUCCGGAAUGGAAAUGGGGCUGGAAGGCAUCUUCAUCCUCUGGGCUCCCAGCCAGGAGGCUGAGAAAGUCUUCUCUCAUCUCCCCGUUUUUCUCUCCUGGAUUCCCUAGAAGGCAGAAGCUUGUUUAACUACUGGGAACACCCCUUUCCUUUUCAAGGGCCUUCAGUAACGGAGGGGAACAGGUCCCCCCAUUUUCUAGGGCGGCGGUUAGGUUCCCUCAAU